rnacentral:lncRNA from 1 species
CUCCUGGAUUGGUUGAGUUUUUUUUUUUUUUUUUUGGAAGAGUUCUCAGUGUCUCUAUCUCCUUCAGCUCUACUCUGAUCUUGGCUAUUUCUUAUCUUCUGCUAGCUUUCAGGUUUGUUUUCACUUGGUUUUCUUGUUCUUUUAACCAAGAUGUUAGGCUGUUAACUUUAGAUCUUUCUAAUUUUUUUUUUUCUUGUGGGAGAGUUUCACUCUGUCACCCAGGCUGGAGUACAGUGGCAUAAUCUCGGCUCACUGCAACCUCCACUUCUCGGUUUUAAGUCACUUCUGCUGUCUCAGCCUCCUGAGUAGCUGGGAUUACAGAUGUGAAUCACCACACCUAGCUAAUUUUUGUAUUUUUUUGUAGAGAUAUGGUUUUGCUGUUGGCCAGGCUGGUCCUGAACACCUGGUCUCAAGUGAUCUGCCUACCCCAGCCUCCCAAAGUGCUGGAAUUACAGGCAUGAGCCACCAUGACCGGCCCUUUCUAGCUUUUUGAUGUGGACAUUAGUGCUAUAAAUUUCCCUCUUUUCUUGGUUUCUAGUGAUUAUUUUAUUCUAUCUUGGUGAGUAGUCAGGGAAAUAAUCUUAAAUUUACAAUCAACUUAUAGUUUAAAUCUAAAUAAUUAAGUGAGAAGAACCCUUUGUUAUUUGAAGGGGAUGUUUGAAGAUUUUGUAACCGUGCCUUUUAGGUAGUCCUAAAUUUCUAAUUGUAGUUAAAAACAUGCCAUUUUCAUUUCUAACAUUUUAAGUAUAUGGUUUAGAAGUGGUAAGUAUAGUUCUAUUUUUUUUUGCAAUAGGUUUUAGAUAAUUUUUGUCUUACAAAAGUAAAAGUGAAUACUCAUUAAUUCUGAAACAAGUUAGUUAGCUUGCUUUAGUUAGAUAGCAAGAGAAGGGUCCCUGGAAAGUCCCUGGCCCUUGGGUCAGUGUCUCAUCCCUGCAUAAUAUAAAAGGAAUCCUGGAAAAAAUCAAGCUGCAGACACUAACAAGGUAACUAGCACAUGGUGUUGUGCUUGGAGACCUGCCCAUGGCUGCACAGACAGAAAAACCUCUGGCAUAUUUGGAUAAAAACUUGUACAAACCUCCAGCUCACUGAGAUAAGGGAACAAGACCGACCUGGCAUAGAAAUGCCUUUGUUUGUCCAGGCACAGUGGCUCAUGCCCGUAAUUCCAGCAAUUUGGGAGGCAGAAGUGGGCGGAUCACCUGAGGUCGGGAGUUCGAGACCAGCAUGACCAACAUGGAGAAAAAUACAAAAUUAGCCGGGCAUGGUGCCUCAUGCCUGUAAUCCCAGCUACUUGGGAGGCUGAGGCAGGAGAAUCACUUAAACCCAGGUGGCGGAGUUUGCUGUGGGCCGAGAUCGCACCAUUGCACUCCAGCCUGGGCAACAAGAGCAAAACUACGUCUCAAAAUAAAUAAAUUAAUAAAUAAUAAGAAAGUACAUCUCAAAAACAAAAAUGAAAGAAAGAAAGAAAAGAAAAAGAAAAAAAGAAACGCCUUUGUACUUUGUGCAGUCAGUGGGCUCCCAGGAAAAUGUUUCUUCUCCUUUUGUGGGCAUAAGCACAGUGGGCUCUGGUGCAUUCCGGUCGACACUCUCCUUUAUUUGGACUGUAAGUCAGACCUCUGUGAAUAAUUACUUCAGCCCCUGAUUGCUCCCGGGACAAGCUCCUGCGCCAAGCUUUCACUUUAGCUUCUGAUAAGUCCUGGGCCAAUCUAAAUAGCAUCUAUGAAUCAUCCCUUCAGCUCCUGAUUGGUCCCGGGUCAAAGUCCUGGGCCAAGCUGAGCCACACUUUUUUCAAGACAGCCUGUUAACUAGGCACAUUUCCUUCUCUUCCUUUCCCAGUCCAUAAAAACCUUGGGCCCCAGCCUCACAGAGGUCACCCCAUUCAGAAACUAUCUCUGCUGGCAAAGAGCUUUCUUCUCUUGCUUAUCAAACUUUCACUCUAACCUCACCUUUGUGUUCACGCUCCUUAAUCUCCCUAGAAGUAGAACAAAGAACUUUCGAUGCUAUCUCAGACUAUGAGAGACUGUUACAUCUUGGUGCACUGCUGAGACUACAACACUUGGUUUCUUUGAGUUUGACUAAAUAUUUUACAUAGGUGUAAUUAUACAGUUUUCCUUUUUGACUGUCUUGUUUUACUUAACAGAAUGUUUUCGAGAUUUGUCCUUAUUGUAGUACUUUUCAAGAUUUCCUUAUUUUUAAGGCUGAAUGCUAUCCAGUGAAUAUACGUGCCCUGUUUGUUGAAUCUACUCAUCCUUAAAGAUAUGUAUUCAUUUCCUACCACCGUAGUGGAAGAGAGAUUUUCCCUAUCUUUACAACUGAUAGCAUUUCCAACAGUAAGCUGUGAGAUUCUGCUUGAAAUCACCUCUCAAACAAAUAAAAAACAGACCUGGGAGACAUGCUACACUCAUUCUGCUGAGGAAAUAGGAUUCUCUCGGCACCAUGGGAAUCACUUCCUCUACUGUCACUGAAACACACCUGGGAUGUAUAUUUAAAAAUUGAAACAGCUUUUGGCUAAAUGAAGCAAAAAAACAAUUAUCUUCUUUUGUAAAACUAUUUAGCCUGCAUACAGAUUAGCUGACAAAACAUGGCUGGAGAAUG